rnacentral:rRNA from 1 species
GGCGGCAUGCCUUACACAUGCAAGUCGAACGGUAACAGGUCUUCGGAUGCUGACGAGUGGCGAACGGGUGAGUAAUGCAUCGGAACGUGCCCAGUAGUGGGGGAUAGCCCGGCGAAAGCCGGAUUAAUACCGCAUACGACCUGAGGGUGAAAGGGGGGGAUCGCAAGACCUCUCGCUAUUGGAGCGGCCGAUGUCAGAUUAGCUAGUUGGUGGGGUAAAGGCCUACCAAGGCAACGAUCUGUAGUUGGUCUGAGAGGACGACCAGCCACACUGGGACUGAGACACGGCCCAGACUCCUACGGGAGGCAGCAGUGGGGAAUUUUGGACAAUGGGCGCAAGCCUGAUCCAGCAAUGCCGCGUGCAGGAAGAAGGCCUUCGGGUUGUAAACUGCUUUUGUCAGGGAAGAAAUCUUCUGGGUUAAUACCUCGGGAGGAUGACGGUACCUGAAGAAUAAGCACCGGCUAACUACGUGCCAGCAGCCGCGGUAAUACGUAGGGUGCGAGCGUUAAUCGGAAUUACUGGGCGUAAAGCGUGCGCAGGCGGCUUUGCAAGACAGAGGUGAAAUCCCCGGGCUCAACCUGGGAACUGCCUUUGUGACUGCAAGGCUAGAGUACGGCAGAGGGGGAUGGAAUUCCGCGUGUAGCAGUGAAAUGCGUAGAUAUGCGGAGGAACACCAAUGGCGAAGGCAAUCCCCUGGGCCUGUACUGACGCUCAUGCACGAAAGUGUGGGGAGCAAACAGGAUUAGAUACCCUGGUAGUCCACGCCCUAAACGAUGUCAACUGGUUGUUGGACGGCUUGCUGUUCAGUAACGAAGCUAACG